AGAGCGAACGCUGGCGGCAGGCUUAACACAUGCAAGUCGAGCGGGCGUAGCAAUACGUCAGCGGCAGACGGGUGAGUAACGCGUGGGAACGUACCUUUUGGUUCGGAACAACACAGGGAAACUUGUGCUAAUACCGGAUAAGCCCUUACGGGGAAAGAUUUAUCGCCAAAAGAUCGGCCCGCGUCUGAUUAGCUAGUUGGUGAGGUAACGGCUCACCAAGGCGACGAUCAGUAGCUGGUCUGAGAGGAUGAUCAGCCACAUUGGGACUGAGACACGGCCCAAACUCCUACGGGAGGCAGCAGUGGGGAAUAUUGGACAAUGGGCGCAAGCCUGAUCCAGCCAUGCCGCGUGAGUGAUGAAGGCCCUAGGGUUGUAAAGCUCUUUUGUGCGGGAAGAUAAUGACGGUACCGCAAGAAUAAGCCCCGGACUAACUUCGUGCCAGCAGCCGC
rnacentral:rRNA from 1 species